AUCACAGUUGUCUUUUUCUUGUAAGUGAACGUGUGAUGGCCGAACGGAGGAGGACGAUGAAAUCAAUGGGUCUGUUUAGUGGUCAAAGAAUUGGGCAAAUUUUCUCCUUGAACCGAGAUCGGCUGUCAGAGAAAUCACGUGUUCACGUGACCAGACAGACAGGAAAGAACAUCAGAAUGAAAUUCUAUCAAAGACAAAUGACAGAGAAGAAUGGAAAAAGAAGGUUGACGGAUCUUGUGUGGUGCUCCAGCGGUGCACAGACCAAAGGAUAGGUGAAAGUGAAUGUGAAGUUAGAUGUGAACCUGGCCUAACUAAUGAAUAUAUAAUUGCUCUAAUUGUUUUGUAAAGGGACAAUCUCUUAUUCCUCAAGAAAAAACA